rnacentral:miRNA from 1 species
UGAGGGGUUUGGAAUGGGAUGG